UCCCUCCUCCAAUAAGAAGACUAAUGGGCGGCUAAUUUUAACGUAUGCUAUGUUCUUCCGUUGUGCCCUGCAUCAUCCUUCCGCUAGCUACUUGGCUGACUGCAUCACCAAUCUCCCUGCUUGUUUACGGUCAUCCUUGCAUCAGGCUUACACAACAGACUUCAAAGGAACAACCUUAGAUUUCCCCACCGCCUCCUCACAUUUCCCCCGUAAUAACUGAUGUUGUUGGUGGACGUCCUGAUUCAGCCACUGACGUCUCCUGGUUCAGGUUUCAAAUUAAUGGUGAAUGAUCAAUAGAAGAUCUCUCUUGGUUUGUUUUUGCUCCUCUUUGUCGCUCCUUGUCUCAUACAUAUCACGUCUUCCCUGUUCUUUCUCUCCUACAUAUCGCAAGGGGCUCUUGGGGACAAGAUGGUUUUCUAAUGUUGCUGAAAAAGCCGUGAAUGCUUGAGUUUUUGGUGGCUAUAGCAUCACCUGGCAAUUUCAAGGUGUAGGGUGAUCCCUUAUAGUCUCAUAUAUGACAAAACUGGUUUGGCAGGCUUGCAUAAGUUAUCUUCUUAAUUAAAUAUGGCUCUGUUAAUCUUACUAUUCCAUAUAGGUACUCUCUUUUUUAUAUUCUUUGUUAUUGUUACUAUGUGAUUAUUAAUUAUACUUAAAAGAAAUUGAAAUAUAAAUCAAUUAUUGUUUUAAUCAUUUUACCCUUUUUCAGUAAUGCAAAUAGGGUCUUGGCUCUCAAUGCACAUUAUUUCCUUGCAUAUAUGUCUACAAUUAAAACUUUUAUAGGGUAAAUUAUAUUUCUUCUGGGGUUCUGAAUCGAACAUAGACAAAAAUUAGGGAUACUAUUACCAGGUCCAUUCACAAUUUUUUAAGGGUUUUGUUGUUAUCUACAACAUGAGAUUUUUGGGUUUUGGUAUUGGUCCGACAGCAAUGAAUAAUUACUAAAUGUUCAAUACACCAAAUCCUUUUAUGUCAUAUAGUUGUUUACAUAUGUAAAUUUAAAUAUGAGAAUCGACCUAUAGCAAGAACUUAAUUUGCAGAUUAUUUUUUCCAUAUUUUUGCUCAAGCAUGUAUCUCCACUAUGCUACUUUAUCACAUCCAAAUAUGUCCAAGUUUAAUUCAUUAAUUUUCUUUUUCAUUGAAUAUUAACAAAAAAAAUAAAGUAAAUUUCAAAUAUUUUGAAAAUUUUGUGCAUAUAUAGCUUAGCUAUAAAAGAGCUUCCAGAACAGGAUCACACGCUAGCUCUAUCUAAGGCAAAUGUAAUUAUGAUUAUUUUAUAUUAACCUUUUAAAAAAUUUGUUUGCGAACGAUUUUUAUGUAGCACCUGGUUCCUGGUACGUAAAUCUUAUUUGAGUGUUUUCCAUUUUUUAGCCUUGGACUCGACGAGUCAUAGGUCCGACUCGUCGAGUAGAGACGGGACCCCGGGACACGUUUAAGUUGGUGACUCGGCGAGUCACCGCUGUUGGAUGAAACCCUAAGUUUCAAGGGUUUGCACCCUAUUUAAACAACAUAUCCGCCCCAAGCCAGCCCCUAUUCACCCCUCAGAGCUUCCAACCCUCGUUCUAAGCUAUUCAUAGAGAGUUUGAAGCAAUUGUUGUGUGUUCUUGAAGGUUUUGAGGCAAAAGGGAAGUAGAUCAAGAGGAAGGGAAGGAAUCCAAGCAUCUUUGUGCUCUCUAAGUAGUUCCUUUGAGCCGGAGGAUUUCCGGAGCAGCAGCAGCAGCAGUAGACAGUCAGUUCCCGAUCAGAUCAGCAGCUACUUCGAGGUACCUCUUCAGCCAAGGGGAAGGAGCAAGCGCGGUAGCGGCUCGUCACACACACUCCUUGAUUCCGCAUUUAUGAGUUUACCCUGGGAUUGAUACUCUGAUAUUUGAUUGAUCGAAUGUUGUGGUUUUCAAUUUGGUUUUCGAUGUAAUAUGGUUUAAUCAAACAAUGUUUUAACUAUUAAUGCUUUCAUGUAAUGUUUUAUAACGAAAUUUUUGGACGUGAAAAUUGGGUCGUUACAAGUUGGUAUCAGAGCCCUGGUUUGAGGGAUUCGGACACACCUUCGGGGGUGUCUGAACUCAAAUCGAGGGAUUAAAAGAUUUUCUAAAAGAAAAUGUUUUCUAAAAUUUGAGAAAAGAGUUUCGAGAAA